CAGGCUACAGCUGAUGCAGAUCAAAAAUCUGAUGCAACUACAUAGUCAUGAGGUAUUCAAGAAAUUCAACCGCAUCUCAUCAGGAAUAUUUGCUCAUGGCAUGAGCCCUUCAUGCUGCUGUCACAAGUGGGAGUUGAGUUAGCUGACUUCACUAUGGUUGUGGGAGCACACUCAUGCUGCUAUCUCGAGUGGGAGUUGAAUUAGCUGACUUCACUAUGGUUGUGGGAGCACAAAAUGAAUGCAACCCUCAGCCUCAUUCAUGUACAAGCUUCUUGUUCUCGUUGUCCUUUCCUUUGUAUAAAAGUAUAAAUUCGUUGAUUCUUUGAAUUUUAGAAUCUAGAAGUAGGUGAUGUUGCAAAACAGACUUAGUCUUCACAUGAACUUGUAUUACCUUCCUUCAGAAUGGAUAGAAAAGAAACAGAUUUAGCUUAAUGUCUGUCCAACCUCAAAAUUGGCCUUCAUUCUUCCGCAGGGCGAUAUAUCCAAGUCCCAAAUGACAGCAACAGGAAAAAUCAUGAAAGCAAGAUACUGUGAUUGUACUACUAUAAGAUUUCUGUUUCCUCUUAUGUUAUUUCAUUUUAAUCAGUGUAUUUAACCAAUAAAUUGCCGAUGUUCUCAAUGAAGAAAAAAAAGGCAGUAGAAAGAUCUUCAUCUGUUCAUCAUGUUGAUGAGAGUGGAUUCUGAAA
rnacentral:lncRNA from 1 species